UACGUAGGGGGCAAGCGUUGUCCGGAAUCAUUGGGCGUAAAGAGCGUGUAGGCGGCUCGGUAAGUCCGCUGUGAAAGUCCAGGACUCAACCCUGGAAUGCCGGUGGAAACUGUCGAGCUAGAGUCCGGAAGAGGCGAGUGGAAUUCCUGGUGUAGCGGUGAAAUGCGCAGAUAUCAGGAGGAACACCGGUGGUGUAGACGGCUUUCUGGACCGUAACUGACGCUGAGACACGAAAGCGUGGGUAGCAAACAGG
rnacentral:rRNA from 1 species